rnacentral:tRNA from 1 species
GAGCCGAGCAGAGAUGACCGCGGACUGCGCACGGAGAAGCCCUGGCAAGGUCGCGAAGGACCCGGGUUCAAUUCCCGGCGGCUCCA